rnacentral:rRNA from 1 species
AACGUAGGGGGCGAGCGUUGUCCGGAAUUACUGGGCGUAAAGCGCGCGUAGGCGGCCCCUUAAGUCCGGUGUGAAAGCCCGCGGCUCAACCGCGGGAGGCCACUGGAAACUGGGGGGCUUGAGGGCAGGAGAGGGGAGUGGAAUUCCCGGUGUAGCGGUGAAAUGCGUAGAGAUCGGGAGGAACACCAGUGGCGAAGGCGGCUCCCUGGCCUGUACCUGACGCUGAGGCGCGAAAGCGUGGGGAGCAAACAGG